GAGUUUGAUUCUGGCUCAGAACGUUACGCUGGCGGCAGGCCUAACACAUGCAAGUCGAACGCCCUCUUCGGAGGGAGUGGCAGACGGGUGAGUAACGCGUGGGAACCUACCUAGUGGUACGGAAUAGCUCGGGGAAACCCGUGCUAAUACCGUAUGUGCCCGAUAGGGGAAAGAUUUAUUGCCAUUAGAUGGGCCCGCGUCGGAUUAGCUUGUUGGUGAGGUAAUGGCUCACCAAGGCGACGAUCCGCAGCUGGUCUGAGAGGAUGAUCAGCCACACUGGGACUGAGACACGGCCCAGACUCCUACGGGAGGCAGCAGUGGGGAAUAUUGGACAAUGGGCGCAAGCCUGAUCCAGCCAUGCCGCGUGAGUGACGAAGGCCUUAGGGUUGUAAAGCUCUUUUGGCGGGGACGAUAAUGACGGUACCCGCAGAAUAAGCCCCGGCUAACUUCGUGCCAGCAGCCGCGGUAAUACGAAGGGGGCUAGCGUUGUUCGGAAUCACUGGGCGUAAAGCGUACGUAGGCGGAUUUGUAAGUUAGGGGUGAAAUCCCGGGGCUCAACCUCGGAACUGCCUUUGAUACUGCAAGUCUAGAGUCCGAGAGAGGUGAGUGGAAUU
rnacentral:rRNA from 1 species